rnacentral:misc_RNA from 1 species
GAUGAAGAACGUAGUGAAAUGCGAUAAGUAAUGUGAAUUGCAGAAUUCCGUGAAUCAUCGAAUCUUUGAACGCACAUUGCGCCCUCUGGUAUUCCGGGGGGCGUGCCUGUCCGAGCGUCAUUUGCAACCCUCAAGCCCGGCUUGUGUGAUGGGUGCCGUCCCCUACGGGACGCGCCCCGAAGGCAAUGGCGGCGUCGCGGUUAUCCGAUCAGCCAAAGUGUAUGGGGCUUUGUCACUCACUUUACGGCCCGGACCGGCGCCAGUCCGAAUCAAUCUUUUUUCUAAAGUUGACCUCGGAUCAGGUAGGGAUACCCGCUGAACUUAAGCAUAUCAAUAAGCGGAGGA